rnacentral:rRNA from 1 species
UACGUAGGGGGCGAGCGUUGUCCGGAGUUACUGGGCGUAAAGCGCUUGUAGGCGGUCCCCCAAGUUUGGGGUGACAGUUGCCGACUUAAUCGGCAAAGUGCCUCAAAGACUGGCGGACUUGAGGGCCACAGAGGGACAUGGAACUCCAGGUGUAGUGGUGAAAUGCGUAGAUAUCUGGAAGAACACCAAAGGCGAAGGCAGUGUCCUGGGGGGUCGCUGACGCUGAGAGGCGAAAGCCAGGGGAGCGAACGGG